AUGCACGCUGGCGGCGUGCCUAAUCCAUGCAAGUCGAGCGAACAGACGAGGAGCUUGCUCCUCUGACGUUAGCGGCGGACGGGUGAGUAACACGUGGAUAACCUACCUAUAAGACUGGGAUAACUUCGGGAAACCGGAGCUAAUACCGGAUAAUAUAUUGAACCGCAUGGUUCAAUAGUGAAAGACGGUUUUGCUGUCACUUAUAGAUGGAUCCGCGCCGCAUUAGCUAGUUGGUAAGGUAACGGCUUACCAAGGCAACGACGCGUAGCCGACCUGAGAGGGUGAUCGGCCACACUGGAACUGAGACACGGUCCAGACUCCUACGGGAGGCAGCAGUAGGGAAUCUUCCGCAAUGGGCGAAAGCCUGACGGAGCAACGCCGCGUGAGUGAUGAAGGUCUUCGGAUCGUAAAACUCUGUUAUUAGGGAAGAACAAAUGUGUAAGUAACUAUGCACGUCUUGACGGUACCUAAUCAGAAAGCCACGGCUAACUACGUG
rnacentral:rRNA from 1 species